UCCUCGGUGGUAUAAUGGUUAGUACGUCCACCUCUCACGCGGGAGACUGGGGUUCAAUUCCCCGCUGGGGAG